rnacentral:rRNA from 1 species
UACGGGGGGGGCAAGCGUUGUUCGGAAUUACUGGGCGUAAAGGGCUCGUAGGUGGCCAACUAAGUCAGACGUGAAAUCCCUCGGCUUAACCGGGGAACUGCGUCUGAUACUGGAUGGCUUGAGUUUGGGAGAGGGAUGCGGAAUUCCAGGUGUAGCGGUGAAAUGCGUAGAUAUCUGGAGGAACACCGGUGGCGAAGGCGGCAUCCUGGACCGAAACUGACACUGAGGCGCGAAAGCCAGGGGAGCAAACGGG